UACGUAGGGGGCAAGCGUUGUCCGGAAUUACUGGGCGUAAAGCGCGUGUAGGCGGGACGACAAGUCCGGCGUGAAAGGCUCGGGCUCAACCCGAGACGGCCGUUGGAAACUGUCGUUCUUGAGGGUCGAAGAGGAGAGUGGAAUUCCUGGUGUAGCGGUGAAAUGCGCAGAUAUCAGGAAGAACACCCGUGGCGAAAGCGGCUCUCUGGAACGGUACUGACGCUGAGACGCGAAAGCGUGGGGAGCGAACAGG
rnacentral:rRNA from 1 species